rnacentral:rRNA from 2 species
UACGUAGGGUGCGAGCGUUAAUCGGAAUUACUGGGCGUAAAGCGUGCGCAGGCGGUUUGUUAAGACAGAUGUGAAAUCCCCGGGCUUAACCUGGGAACUGCAUUUGUGACUGGCAAGCUAGAGUAUGGCAGAGGGGGGUAGAAUUCCACGUGUAGCAGUGAAAUGCGUAGAGAUGUGGAGGAAUACCGAUGGCGAAGGCAGCCCCCUGGGCCAAUACUGACGCUCAUGCACGAAAGCGUGGGGAGCAAACAGG